AUUUGUUACUAUUAAGGGGCGUAAUGCUGACCACUCACCCCGAUCUAGUGCCGAGGUCAAGAAAGAGUAGGAGCUAUAACCUCCACUCCCCACAAACGACAUACACGGCGUGUAGCGGGAUGUUUUUUUAUUAUUAUUAUUAUUAUAUUAAAGAGAAGUAAAUCCUUCAAAUAAUAUUUAGCAAAUAAGUAUUUAUAACAAAAUGUUUUUCCAAUGACAAAUUAAAUACCAACUCAGUUUAA